UACAGAGGUCUCAAGCGUUGUUCGGAAUUAUUGGGCGUAAAGCGCACGUAGGCGGCUUUGCAAGUCGGAUGUGAAAGCCCUCGGCUCAACCAAGGAAGUGCAUCCGAAACUGCAGAGCUUGAGUACUUAAGAGGAUCGCGGAAUUCCCGGUGUAGAGGUGAAAUUCGUAGAUAUCGGGAGGAACACCAGUGGCGAAGGCGGCGAUCUGGGAAGAUACUGACGCUGAGGUGCGAAAGCGUGGGGAGCAAACAGG
rnacentral:rRNA from 1 species